rnacentral:rRNA from 1 species
AUUGAACGCUGGCGGCAUGCCCUACACAUGCAAGUCGAACGGCAGCACGGGGCAACCUGGUGGCGAGUGGCGAACGGGUGAGUAAAGCAUCGGAACGUACCUUUCAGUGGGGGAUAACGUAGCGAAAGUUACGCUAAUACCGCAUAUUCUGUGAGCAGGAAAGCAGGGGAUCGCAAGACCCUGCGCUGAUUGAGCGGCCGAUGUCAGAUUAGCUAGUUGGUGGGGUAAAGGCUCACCAAGGCGACGAUCUGUAGCGGGUCUGAGAGGAUGAUCGGCCACACUGGAACUGAGACACGGUCCAGACUCCUACGGGAGGCAGCAGUGGGGAAUUGUGGACAAUGGGGGCAACCCUGAUCCAGCCAUGCCGCGUGAGUGAAGAAGGCCUUCGGGUUGUAAAGCUCUUUCGGCCGGGAAGAAAUCGCACGGGCUAAUACCCUGUGUGGAUGACGGUACCGGAAUAAGAAGCACCGGCUAACUACGUGCCAGCAGCCGCCGUAACAC